GUGUCUCUCAUGAAUAAAUAAAUAGAAUCUUUAAAAAAAAAUACCAUCUAUUUAAACUGAAUCCCCUCCAGAACUUUUCUGCUUUCUUCCAACUGAGAUACAACCUUCUGGUACUACCUGUAAUACCUAGGUCUUUCCUAGGAUGCUGUGGGUUUCCUUAGUGCUUGUUAUUGUGGAUAUUUAAAAACUCAAAUUUUUCUUGCUGUUUGCCCCCUACAUUCUUGGCACACCAAAGAAAAAUAAUUGAACAUGGGAUUCAGAACUGUAGUACUCUUUGAGCAUUUUUCUGAGUGAAAUUCUCCCUACUUCUAGUAUAGAUAUUUCAUAGGAAAAUGUCUCCCCUUUCUCUGCAUCCCUAGCAUAACUCCAGAGACUGGUAUUUCUUUUCAUGCUGCUGUUUUGCACCUUCAAGUCCACAGGUCUGUGAAACUUUCCUUUCAUAGGAGCUUUGCCUCUUGUUCCCUCCCAUCUAAAGCAAGAAAAUACUCUUUCACAGUUUUCUGAACCGAAGCUGUUACUGAUGUUGGUACAAAGCCUGGGUCUUUGAGGACCAAAUGAGACCUGAAGAUCUAUUUGUACGUAGUCCAUGUGAAGACCUUCCUUCAGCUCUUGGAAACACUGAUAUUUUACUAGUAAUAAGUUAAUCUGAAUGAAUUUCUCAGGAUUUGAGUGACUUGAGACUUUACUUGGUGGUGGGGGCAGGGGAGGAAAGCAUUCCUUUUAUGCCACCAUAGGGCUAGACUAGCCUCUCCUGUUUUCUCUUUAGUAUUCCACCUGUUCCUUCCAGGAAAGUCCUGCUGAGUUUCUCAACUUCAGACUAGUUUUUAAAUGGAUCCUUGGCUCCCAGGACCAUAUGUAAAAGAAAUGUGUUGGCACAAUCCUCCACAGCCCUGUUUCCCGUUGUUGUUUUUUGUUUAUUUUUUGUUCUUAUUUUUUCUUUACCAUGUGUCAAAACUGGUUAAUUAAGCUAAUAUUAUUCCUCCCUCAUCUGUUGAUACAAAAUUUCCAAAGCCUGAAAAAAAAGAGAUUUGCUUGCAUAUCAAAUUUUAAUUCCUCCACUAGGUGUUCUCUCAUUGUCAUUGUCCUUCUGCCUCUCAGUAAAUUUGGUUCCCAGAGCCAGCAUUUCCUAGAAACUGACCAUAAACAUCCCUGUUUUAUCCCCUAAUUCUUGAGUUUGUACCAUUUUGUAGUUUUUUUUUCUCCCCAUCCCCCGAAGAAGGUGGUGCAUUCUCCCAGAGCCAGGACUCCUAUCCUGGUUAUUGUAAGCUCCACCACAAUCCCCGUUCUAUUCAGUAAGGGUCAGGAUGUAUCUAAUUAUCUAAUACCUUUCUCCUGCUAAACCAGGGCUGCAGACUCACUACUUCCACUCACAGUUGCUGUGGAGAUUGCAGAUGAAAUCUAAAGUAGAAGCUCCCUGCCUUCUCAGGUCUUGCUCUCCAGAGCAAGUUAAUAAAAAUGUGACACAUAAAAUUAAGAAAAGUGAAGUAAAACUUUUGAUUAAGUUGUUCUUAAAUCUACCUCUUGACUGGAAAGGUACUCUAAUGAAGUGACUAAGAUUAGGAGACAGAACACUUGGAUCCAAAUCUGGCAUUACUACUUACUACCUUGUGACCUUGGGCAAGUUAUUUAAACUUCCUAACACUCAAUUUUCUUCGAAUAUAGAAAAAGCAACCCCAUAGCAUUGUUGUGAAUAUUAUAUACUAGGUAUACACCACUUAGCAAGAUUCCUGAUAAUGAGAGAUCCGUUUUGGCAAGAAUUACCAUCCAUAUCUGUGAUUUGUGAAGAAAUUACUAUUUAGUAACAAUUAACCCAAUUUAUGGUCCAUCAGGCCUAGACUAAUACUUUAAUUCUUCAAAAGAUGGGACUAAUGAAUCCAUAAUGAAUCCAAAUGAAUUGAGAUAAGUUAAAAAAAAUUAAGAUCGAGUGGAAAUUUAAAAGUAUAUCAGGACAUUAUGUAUGCUGCUUACACCUUAAUAAUAUCCUUAUUUUAUGAAUAAGAACCCUGAAGUUUAGAAUAUUAAAUAAUUUUGCCAAGAUAUCAUCAUAUAAUGACCCAGUGGCAGAGGGAGGAUUCAAAUCCAGGUCUGCCUCAUUAUAAGGUCUCCUGCUUCACUCUAGAGUAGAAAAAGGAUUUAAUAAACACAUGAUCUAUCUUCCUUCCUGGAAUUUAAUUAAUACUGGCAGAGGAAGAAAUGAGAAAUUGUGUGUGUGUGUGUGUGUGUGUGUGAGGGAGAGUGAGAGAGACACACAUGAUAUGUGCCACAUAAAGCAUUGCAUACUAUCAGUUCUCUAAAGGAAUAUUUUAUUGUGAUUUAUAUACACUUUUGGUUAAAUCUCAGACUAUAGCAUAUCUGUAAGUAUCUUGUAAUUCUUUAUAUAAUUAAUAUUUAUAAUCCAAGUAUUAGUAUUUGACAAUUUUUUAGUGUAUUGAAUGAAAAAUUUUAACAUCUAGUAAAUCAAGGUUUCUUUUUUUAUUAAGGUCUCCAAGUCUAAUAUUUCAACUGGUAUUGAAGAAAAUUUUAGAAUUCAUACAUUUAGGUUUUUUUUGUGGU